UUGACUGUGGGGCUGUGGAUGGGACAGUCUCAAACUCCAUGUUCCCCCAGACCCAGGGCCCAUCCUGGCACCCAGCCCACAGUGGGCCCUGAGGAAGCAUGGACCUCCGGGGUAGCCAGAAUCCAUUCCUUCCCAUGUCAAGCCCUGUGCUGGGCCCACCCAGCCUCUUCUGUCCUGGGGAAAUCACCCCAGGGCUGGGGACCUGGCCCCAGGGCCCUCAUGGGAUGUUGUCACCAGGACCAAAAGCUGGGAGACCCAGAGCCAGAGAAUUAGGCUGAGAAUUGGGAGACAGAGCCUUCUUGGGACAGGUGACCUGCCUUGUACCAGCUGCCGUAUUCCCCAUAGGGGGCGCUGUCCCGGCGCUUAUCCUGGAGGAAAGAAUGGUCACAAGAAAGAUGAGCAGAACAGACCCUUGCACCUCAGGCCACAGCCCAAGACAUGUGCUAGGCCUGAAUGAUGGGCCAGGCUCCGAGGGACUC
ensembl:lncRNA KLC2-AS1 KLC2 antisense RNA 1